rnacentral:piRNA from 1 species
UGUGUAGGUGCGUGCACAUGAGUGAGC